rnacentral:lncRNA from 1 species
AGAAUCCACCGGGGUGCAGCGAGGCUGUGGAAAGUCCCACCCAGAACGUGAGGUGAAGAAGGCUUGGGCUGCGCUGGUUCUGCUCUGUCCGGGUCGGAGAUGAACUGACCCGGGAGAGCAGCGGAGGGAUGUUUCUUUUGGCCAACAGUGGGGACUCACCUGCACGUUUUGCGAAGAGGCCCACAGUCCUUUGCGUGGCGCUCGGACUACAUUUCCCAACGGCCCCUGCACGCCCUGGGGGCUGUUCCAUGCGGUGUUGCGCCUGCGUAGCCGGCGGGCUGGCAGUGAGACUGACUGCGUCGGGGUUGAGACUGGGUGGAUGAGGCUCACCCCGGCGGGGAGAAGGGACGAGGAGGGGCGGACAGCGGAAGGUCCGGGAGUGUCCGCCAUAAAGUCGUUUGAGGUGACCGUUGCGUAAUUGUGAGUCUGUGAGAGAAGAUGUGAAGUAUGGCCUCGUCCCGGUCAUCUGGGCGUGCGGGUCCCGGGUUUUGAUCGCGCGUUUGUGUAGUUUUAACUUCUAGUCAUGGCGAAUGAUCGCAGGAGAGCACAGACUGGACCCUGCUACGAUCUCUCUUGGAGUGGAUCAGACUGAUGAUCACCAACAACCAACUCAUUCCCGGAUAAGGAAGAAGAGAGUGUCACCUACUUCAGUGUGGUUUCAACCCUACUUCUGCAUCUUAAAGACACUUGUACAACGUUGGACACUGUGCAGGAUGAUGCCACUUCAUCUUGGAUGCUAAUCUGCCAUGUUGACUUCUGAUUAACCCCAGGCCCAGGAAUGCCUCAAGAUUUCUACUUUACUUACUGUUGCUUGUGUAAGCCAAGACAACCUUGAUGUUAUCAUAAACAUGUACUUACCUAAGUCCUGUCCUUUGGCAAAUUAUGGGCUAUGAGACACAGCAUUCUUGCCUUUCCCUGAGGGGUCAAUUUCAGCGAUCCUACACAUUCCUUCUGAAGCACUUAUGCUCUUUCUAUAUGGUAUGUAAGCUCUCGGUCUGGGGAGUAACAGUGCAGAGAUCUACCUGUCUUGUUGCCACAUGUUUCUAAACUUUCCAAUAAAUCACCUUCUACUGACAAACUGGA